rnacentral:rRNA from 1 species
ACGGAGAGUUUGAUCCUGGCUCAGGACGAACGCUGGCGGCGUGCUUAACACAUGCAAGUCGAACGGUGAAGCCUUCGGGUGGAUCAGUGGCGAACGGGUGAGUAACACGUGAGCAACCUGCCCCUGACUCUGGGAUAACUCCGGGAAACCGGGGCUAAUACCGGAUACGACCUCGUGGCGCAUGCCGUGGGGUGGAAAGUUCUUCGGUUGGGGAUGGGCUCGCGGCCUAUCAGCUUGUUGGUGGGGUGAUGGCCUACCAAGCCGACGACGGGUAGCCGGCCUGAGAGGGUGACCGGCCACACUGGGACUGAGACACGGCCCAGACUCCUACGGGAGGCAGCAGUGGGGAAUAUUGCGCAAUGGGCGAAAGCCUGACGCAGCGACGCCGCGUGAGGGAUGAAUGCCUUCGGGUUGUAAACCUCUUUCAGCAGGGAAGAAGCGAGAGUGACGGUACCUGCAGAAGAAGCACCGGCUAACUACGUGCCAGCAGCCGCGGUAAUACGUAGGGUGCAAGC